rnacentral:rRNA from 1 species
CCUACGGGCGGCUGCAGUCGAGAAUCAUUCACAAUGGGGGAAACCCUGAUGCUGCGACGCCGCGUGGGGGAAUGAAGGUCUUCGGAUUGUAAACCCCUGUCAUGUGGGAGCAAAUUAAAAAGAUAGUACCACAAGAGGAAGAGACGGCUAACUCUGUGCCAGCAGCCGCGGUAAUACAGAGGUCUCAAGCGUUGUUCGGAAUCACUGGGCGUAAAGCAUGCGUAGGCUGUUUCGUAAGUCGUGUGUGAAAUGCGCGGGGUCAACCCGCGGACGGCACAUGAUACUGCCAGACUAGAGUAAUGGGAGGGGAACCGGAAGUCCUGGUGUAGGAGUGAAAUGCGUAG